rnacentral:rRNA from 1 species
AACGAACGCUGGCGGCAGGCUUAACACAUGCAAGUCGAGCGCCCCGCAAUGGGCCCUGCAGACGGUUGAUUAACGCGUGGCAACUUACUCUUAUCUUCGGGAUAUCUCCUUGAAACUGGAAUUAAUACCGAAUGUGCCCUUUGGUAGAACGUUUUAUCUGUUAAGGCACGGCCCGCGUUUGAUUAGCUCGUUGGCGUGGUAAAGGACUACUGCGGCGACGAUGCAUAGCUGGUCUGAGAGGAUGAUCAGCCACAUUGGGACUGAGACACGGCCCAAACUCCUACGGAAGGAAGAAGUGGGGAAUAUUGGACGAUGGGCGCAAGACUGAGCCAGCCAUGCCGCGAGAGUGAUGAAGGAGAGAGGGUUGUAAAGCAGUGUCAACAGAGAAGAAAGUGACGGUAACCGGAGAAGAAGCCACGGCUAACUUCGUG